UUAACAGAAUAUACUUUACAAAUAAGAGAAUAUUCUGUUAAAUUUAACGUAGAUUUGAUCCUCCCGUUAACUUUCAAAAAUAUAUAAAUAAAACUAAACCCUCAAAACCGUAACUCAUUUACACCGUGCCACACUUCACUCAUUUAAAAAACCAAUCGACUCUUCCAUUUUACUCUCCCAAUCCCAAUCUGAUCGACUAUAAGGUGAGCUUUGUGAUGAAGAAGUCUCGGAGGUCAAUCGAUUUUUUUCGCUGGGUUGGAGUCGACGAUUGAAAAUUGCGAUUUCAGUCGCUACUUUCCAAUCGAAAAUUGCGAUUUCAGUCGCUUCAGUCGCUGAGUGCAGAGGUUUCAAAUUUGUGAUUUACCAAAGACUUCUACAACUUCUUCUUCUGCUUCUUUCUUCUACUACUCUUUCAAGUGCAGAGUCAGUUCAACUCAUUCGCUUGCAAAAUGUGUUUCGCUGAUCUACGAUUGGAGAUGAAUCCACCCCAGCACCCCGCCGCCACUACUAGCCCCAAGGCCCGUAGAUCUGACUCCAGAUUUCUUCUUUGGUAUAUUCGACAUGAGAAUUGAAAAAGAAGAAGAAUGAGCGAGAAGCGGGCCGUACUGAGGAGAGAUUGCUGGGAGACAGUGAAAUUUCAUUUUGGGGAUUUCUGAAUUUCUAAUGUUGCUUGUGGAUCAUUGUAAGGAUUAUCAGUUAAAGAACGUAAUUUUUGGUGGUUGCCUUGAUGUCACUUCUUUUGAUCUGAUUAUCGCUUAGAGGACCAAUUCAAUCUGC